UAUAUCACGGUGAAUGAAUUCCACCGUCCCAGUGUUAUAUAUCGCUGUUUUUAUUUCUGGCUCGAGGGUUAAUGAACGUGCGGGGUACCAAAGACACUUCUGUUUUCAAAAAGGUAUUCUUCGCUUUAAACACAUAAAUAAACAAGCCAAGGCAUGAAGAGCCUCAUUCAAUGGUCACUAAUGGCGGUCGCAUGGCUGUCACUUGGCCACUGUCGGAACUCAGAAUCUGGGAGUACAACAGCGCGCUGCUUGAAGGGACACGAGCCCAUCAGAGUGUUGCAAUCUGAUGGAGGCAGUUUCAGCUCAUCCUCUCGGCACACGGAGAUACAACAUAACGAAGCUAUUGUCUUGAUGGAGCCAUUAUUCCUCAUUAGUGUAGACGGUGGAGGAUUUGGGUCCGAGGGACAAGAGUGACGUAGAUCCGAACACACUCUUUAUUUCGAUGAUGUGAGAAACAGAAGACAUUAAUCUUUAUAAAACUUCAAGUACACGACGAUUGGAACAGAGUAUGCCACGUCAUCUGUCUUCUACUGUAGGCCUAUGGGGAAUUAUUUCCCAAAACCAAACUAAGGCAGUAAAUAUGUCAGAAAGAACAAAAUCAGCAUCUUUUCUGCAGCUAGAAUUUAAAAUUUCGCCACUGUAUUUGGUCGGUGAAUUUCGAUGGCGUUUUGAAUUGAACACAAUUUCAAGGACUAAGUUUCGUAACAAUAUUUUUAAACAAUGCGAAAUAUUCAGUAAUCUUGCUUAAAUGUGUACGGAACUGCAGUUACUGUCCGAUGAAGAACCACGUCCUCAUUCACACGUACCUACUUACUCUGACAAUCUUGCAAAUGUACAGGAAUUUUUGUUUUUUGUACGGGAACUGGUUGUGAUUCCCUUUAAAACAGCAUAUCUAUAUUUCUUUAACUUUGAAAGAAAAGGCGCAAAUUUAAUUCACACUUUUCAGAUUUAACCCAGCCCGAAUAUUAAGUUAAAUAUUACAUACUUCAUGGUAGGAGAUAAGACAUACUUCACAGACAGCUAUAAAUAACUAUAAAACAAUUACCAUCUUCACAAUACAUCCUUCACCCCAGGUUUUUACCUGCGCCUUUAAAAUUAUAUGCCUAUAACAGGUAGACAUAUAUCGCGUGAGUUGCCGUAAAACGGCGAUAUUAAUUUAUCUUAACUCCCAAGCUCUAAUUAAAAUAGGUGAGGGGAGGAUAAAUUUGGAUAUUCUGGCUUGCUGCAUGCGCAUUUAUGUACUUACGAACGGUUUAAAAAUUUAAAUUGUUUAUCCCAACAAAAUCAUUAUUUGUAACCAAUACAACAGUUAUUGAAACCUUCAUAUUCACACAAAUCUAUGCGGAAAUAUUCCAGUAAGCUGGUCCUACCUGUUAAUGUUGGUCCACGCGUCACUCCUAGAAGUUCGCCCUGCAAAUAAUUGAAACAACUGAAUAGUGACUGCAGAUUAAAUAGAAAAUAAACUCCCUACCACAACAAAACCAAUGUGGCUACACUAAUACCCAGGAUUAACCUACUUCUUAGUUUACACACAUUCAAGUUUCUCUCACAUAAGGUCUACGUGUAAUCUCUUAGGUUAUUUUCUUUUUUGUAAUGUUAAGGGACAGCGAUUUCUUGAGGGAAGAUAAUGGAUCACAUAAAUGCCAAUGCUGAUAUAAUUUACAUAACACUACAACAAGAAUAACCAGUACUCAUUCUGUUAACCUCUCGUAAAACGAAAGAUAAGCAAGGCAACGGCCGUGUUUAAGUAGCGUGAAAAGGCAAUCCUACGUGAACUGAAACCGUACAACAGAAUGCCAUGCUGCAGGCUUGUGUUGCUGACAACGAUCGUACAUACAAUCUCAUUUAUCAGAUUAAAAAUGUAUUUGUUUCUAUAACCACUACAUUAAAAUGCUUGUAUCGUGCACAUAGUAAAACAGAAAAUUUACUUAUACCUUGUUAACGGUGCAUAGAUCAACUGACAAAGUCAGUUUUAAUAAGUGUUUCUGCAGGUAAGUGUAAUCCAAACCGAUUCUGAUAAAAUAAUAUUUCACCCUGUCCGUUAACUUUAUAU